AGUAACAGUUAGAAAUGACUGCUAAUACCGCAUAAGCGCACAGUGCUGCAUGGCACAGUGUGAAAAACUACCGGUGGUAUGAGAUGGACCCGCGUCUGAUUAGCUAGUUGGUGGGGUAACGGCCUACCAAGGCGACGAUCAGUAGCCGGCCUGAGAGGGUGAACGGCCACAUUGGGACUGAGACACGGCCCAAACUCCUACGGGAGGCAGCAUG
rnacentral:rRNA from 1 species